rnacentral:rRNA from 1 species
AGUGAACGCUGGCGGUAGGCCUAACACAUGCAAGUCGAACGGCAGCACAGUAAGAGCUUGCUCUUACGGGUGGCGAGUGGCGGACGGGUGAGGAAUACAUCGGAAUCUACUUUUUCGUGGGGGAUAACGUAGGGAAACUUACGCUAAUACCGCAUACGACCUACGGGUGAAAGCAGGGGAUCUUCGGCCCUUGCGCGAUUGAAUGAGCCGAUGUCGGAUUAGCUAGUUGGCGGGGUAAAGGCCCACCAAGGCGACGAUCCGUAGCUGGUCUGAGAGGAUGACCAGCCACACUGGAACUGGGACACGGUCCAGACUCCUACGGGAGGCAGCAGUGGGGAAUAUUGGACAAUGGGCGCAAGCCUGAUCCAGCCAUACCGCGUGGGUGAAGAAGGCCUUCGGGUUGUAAAGCCCUUUUGUUGGGAAAGAAAAGCAGCAGGUUAAUACCCCGCUGUUCUGACGGUACCCAAAGAAUAAGCACCGGCUAACUUCGUG